rnacentral:rRNA from 1 species
UGGGGAAUCUUGCGCAAUGGGCGAAAGCCUGACGCAGCGACGCCGCGUGAGUGAUGAAGGCCUUCGGGUUGUAAAGCUCUGUGGGGAGAGAAGAAUAAGUGCGGGCUAAUACCCCGCAUGAUGACGGUAUCUCCUUAGCAAGCACCGGCUAACUCUGUGCCAGCAGCCGCGGUAAGACAGAGGGUGCAAACGUUGUUCGGAAUUACUGGGCGUAAAGCGAGUGUAGGCGGUUUGGUAAGUCGGAUGUGAAAGCCCCGGGCUCAACCCGGGAAGUGCAUUCGAUACUGCCAAGCUAGAGUAUCGGAGAGGUUGGUGGAAUUCUCGGUGUAGAGGUGAAAUUCGUAGAUAUCGAGAGGAACACCGGUGGCGAAGGCGGCCAACUGGACGAAUACUGACGCUGAGACUCGAAAGCGUGGGGAGCAAACAGGAUUAGAUACCCAGGUAGUCCCUGAGCGGGCUGGCAAGGCGCAU